rnacentral:rRNA from 1 species
GAUGAACGCUGGCGGCGUGCCUAAUACAUGCAAGUCGAGCGAACGGACGAGAAGCUUGCUUCUCUGAUGUUAACGGCGGAAGGGUGAGUAAAACGUGGAGAACCUAACUAUAAGACUGGGAUAACUUAGGGAAACCGGAGCUAGUACCGGAUAAUAUUUUGAACCGCAUGGUUCAAAAGUGAAAGACGGUCUUGCUGUCACUGAUACAUGGAACCGCGCUGCAUUAGCUAGUUGGUAAGGUAACGGCUUACCAAGGCAACGAUGGAUAGCCGACCUGAGAGGGUGAACGGCCACACUGGAACUGAGAGACGGUCCAGACUCCUACGGGAGGCAGCAGUAGCGAAUCGUGCGCGAUGGGCGGAAGCCUGACGGAGCGACGCCGCGUGAGUGAUGAAGGUCUUCGGAUCGUAAAACUCUGUUAUGAGUGAAGAACAUAUGUGUAAGUAGCUGUGCUCAUCUUGACGGUACCUAAUCAGAAAGCCACGGCUAACUACGUG